UGAUGAGCAGUGCCACGUCCGCACCCAGGAUCCGAACCAACAAAACACUGGGCCGCCUGCAGCGGAGUGCGUGAACUUAACCACUUGGCCACGGGGCCAGCCCCAAGGUGGUUUUAUUUUUAUUUAUUUAUUUUUUUUAAGAUUGGCACCUGGGCUAACAACUGUUGCCAAUCGUCCUUGUUUUUUUUUUAAGGAUUGGCACCUGGGCUAACAAAUGUUGCCAAUCUUUAUAUCUUAGUUGCAGGUCCUCCUAGUUGUGGGAUGUGGGAUACCGCCUCAACGUGGCCUGACAAGCGGCGCCAUGUCCGUGCCCAGGAUCCGAACCCUGGGCCGCCGCAGCAGAGCGUGCAAACUUAACCACUCGGCCACGGAGCCGGCCCCUGGAGGUGGUUUUAAUUGUGUGUGAUGACGAACUGUGGCCUCUACCCUUACAACAGAGGAAAAAGUAAUCAGGAAGGAGCGGGUGCUUAAAGAUUAGAGUGCACUGUGGAGCUGCUUGGAUCCUCCUCAGAGUGACUCUCCAUCUGGAGUUUGUGUGUCAGUAUCUUCUGUAUCAGAAGAGAAUGACCUUUUUCUCUGCACGGUAAAUUUCAUGGUGGGAUCGUGGAAUCAAAAUGGGAGAUGUUUAAGGGUCCUCAGAAGUCAUUUAGCACAAACCCUUCACUCACAGAUGAAGAGAUUGCCAGAAGUUGGUUUUGGCCAAGUUUACUGGAUUAUUUAUUGAAUCUCUGGUCCAGAAUUUAAUGUUCUUUGAUACUGGCCCUCUCCUCUGGAACAUUCUCUCUUACAAGGUCAUGAACAGAG
rnacentral:lncRNA from 1 species